CUUUUUUUACGCUGCUUCUAUUCACUGUUUAUUAUCUAUUAUCUAUGCCUCCAUACAACCGCAGUUAAUUCCGUUGUACACAAAGCUUUUUUCACGACACACUUUGAACUUUACCUACCCUCUUUGAAUCACCUCUGUUUUCCUCUCUCUCUCUCUCUCUCUCUCUCUCUCUCUCUCUCUCUAGUAGGUUUAAAAUCCUCUCCUGAUGCCAUUACCCUCAAAGAGAAGGAGAAUCUUGUCAUCAGUGCUGUAGAGUUUGAAGAAGCUGGGCUUCCUUGAGCCACAGGCAAAGAGAUUGACAUGCUUUUGGAGCAGCAGGACCAAUUCCAUGAUGCCUCAGGUGUUGAUAAACCUCCCUACCCAGAAAUUCCUCUACAGCUCACCAUCUGGCUCUCUCCUGUACCCUGACCUCUUGUCGCUACGGAAACAGUGCGCUGCCCUCACAAUGCUCUGCCCUCACAAUGCUCACUCGCUCUGGGGAGAGACGCAGAGGGGAGGAGACGGAGGAGGAGGGAAGCUCCGAGCUGGACAGAGAGAUGGAGAGGAAGAAGAGGGACUCUGGCAUGCAAGAGAUCCCAGGACAGUUGCUGGAGUCAGCAGCAGCCCCUCCAUCUGAAGCAUCAGUCUCCCAUGGAAGAAGCCCCAGUUCACGUGGAGGCUAUAGUGGAGGAACAUGUGGUUCUACCAGACAGAGAAGAGGAGACUGACUAGAGAGGUCACUGCUGAGGGGCUGUUGAGGAAGGUUUGGCAAGGUCACCUUCUACUCUCUACUGCCCCUGGAGGCAGUACUGCAGCUCACAUGCUCUCCAAACUGCUAGAGCUGGUGUCUGCUAGGGAGCUGGCUGUACAUCAGGCUGAAUCCUACAGCCCCAUUACCAUCAUCCCCGGACCAUUCAGCACCGUGCACACCUGAGGAACACAGAGGAUGUCCACACACACACACACACACACACACACACACACACACACACACACACACGGGAUGUGUGCGGCCGUACUUUUAAAACUAAUAAUGUUCAUUCAUGUCCCAAAUUUCAUUCCUGUGAGAUCAUCACCUCAAACUGUUUUGUAGCACACGAGUCCUCUUGACUUUUGUAAACAUUUUUGUAAAACAUUUAGUGAAGCCUUUUUAUAACAAGUGAAAUUACUGAGUUAUUAUUGAAAGUUAGUUAUUCAUAUUUUUAUUUUUUUUAUUCAAAGUUGGUAUUUAUAUUAUUAAAUCUGUUGAGGAGUGUAUUUAUUAUUAAUAUAUUUAAUAUGAUGUAUUUAGCAGGGGAUAUAUUUUAUUCAAAUUUAUUUGUCAACUGUCAUGAAAGUUGAUAUUGUUGACAGCAACGUUUUUGGUGAACUUUUCUCAGAUGUCUUUUCUAUCUUAUUGUGGUAUGAUGUUACUGUCACGUUCUGACCUUUAUUUCCUUUGUUUUGUCGUUAUUUAGUAUGGUCAGGGCGUGAGUUGGGUGGGCAGUCUAUGUUUGUUUUUCUAUGAUUUUGGGAUUUCUAUGUUUCGGCCUAGUAUGGUUCUCAAUCAGAGGCAGGUGUCAUUAGUUGUCUCUGAUUGAGAAUCAUACUUAGGUAGCCUGGGUUUCACUGUUUGUUUGUGGGUGAUUGUCUAUGUUAGUUGCUUGUGUCAGCACAGUGCUUAUGAUAGCAUCACGGUCGUUAUUUGUUUAUUGUUUUUGUACCGUUUUCUUCGUGCUUUGCGUCAUCUAUUAAAUUACGCAUUCACACCA